GUGGGGAAUCUUGCGCAAUGGGCGAAAGCCUGACGCAGCCAUGCCGCGUGAAUGAUGAAGGUCUUAGGAUUGUAAAAUUCUUUCACCGGGGACGAUAAUGACGGUACCCGGAGAAGAAGCCCCGGCUAACUUCGUGCCAGCAGCCGCGGUAAUACGAAGGGGGCUAGCGUUGCUCGGAAUUACUGGGCGUAAAGGGCGCGUAGGCGGACAGUUUAGUCAGAGGUGAAAGCCCAGGGCUCAACCUUGGAAUUGCCUUUGAUACUGGCUGUCUUGAGUACGGGAGAGGUGAGUGGAACUCCGAGUGUAGAGGUGAAAUUCGUAGAUAUUCGGAAGAACACCAGGGGCGAAGGCGACUCACUGGCCCGUUACUGACGCUGAGGUGCGAAAGCGUGGGGAGCAAACAGGAUUAGAUACCCCGGUAGUCC
rnacentral:rRNA from 1 species